AUGAGCAUGAUGAAAACUAGCUUGAUGAUAUUCCCAUGUGUCCUUGGGAGCGCUUUUCUCUAUAUAAGAAUUUGUCCAGGCUUGUCCUUUGCUACAAAAAGGAUGGGCCACCUUGCUACACCUUAUUUACUUUUGUUACUUGUUUCUCGUUACAAAUUAUGCUAUCACAAAACUAUCUGUUACCACUUGUUUCAGUACAUGCAGAGAAUACCUUGCUGGAAACUGCUUAUCAUUUCCUUCUGCUCCUCGUUGGGUUCGACACUCUUACUUAUCGAAAGGACUGUGAUAGAUCCCCUAUACUUGUGGGUCAUCAAGAAUCUUUUCUGGCGCCGUUUCCGGGGAGGUGAGUGCUUGAAGGUAUAUCUUUAG
rnacentral:rRNA from 1 species